UUGUUACGUUUCCUUUGAGCCACGUGUCUGGGCCACUGAAUGUAUCUGAUGGUACUGAGGAUCUGAAGAA
rnacentral:snoRNA from 1 species